UGAUGGCAAUGAUGAUUUUUGCACUUGUUGACCUGAUAACGUAAAUAUGAAGGUGUUCAGUCACUACCUCAUCUGAUGCCAUCA